GGCAAGGCUCAUAGGAGGGGGGGCAAAACUUAAACUUUAAGAGCAAGUUUAAGUGCAUAGAGAGGAAUUAGGGAAGGCCAUGGCAGGGUAGUGGUCAUGCCCAACAAUUAAGAGUGAUGGCACACUCCUGACCAACCUUUUUAGCCAAAGUUGGGAGUUAGGAUCCAUUUAGGAUCAGGUUCAAACCUGGGCAGCAAUAUGGAUACUGCUAGGCCAUGAGCCUUAACUCAAACACAUAGAAGGAAAUAGGGAUAGGGAUUCACAAUAGAAAAAUAUGCAAGGAAAGAACAUACAUAGUUAACAUUAAUCACUGAACAUGAACAACAGAGUAAACAUGAUUGCAGAAAACUGUAAAUAAACACACAGAGGUGAGGCAGGAAAGUUAAAUUAGAACAUACUAGUUUCAGGAAAAACAAACAAGUAAA
rnacentral:lncRNA from 1 species